rnacentral:lncRNA from 10 species
CAAGGACUCUCAUACGUCACUGUGGAAUGCAGAAUAUUGCAGCCUCAUGGAAGAGGAUUUGGCAGCGUCUAACAAAACUACAUGGCAUUUGCCCUUUGACUCAGCAAUUCUAGAAUCUGCCUCAAAAAAACUCCAGCAAAGAAAUGAAAGGACUUUAGGCACAGAGUUCUUUUCACAGCCUGCAUGUGUUUGCAACAAAGUUCUUCACUGUGGCGUUUGUAAAUGUGGGGAAAAGAGAGAUCAGGCUGGUACUGUGUCUGUGUAGAAAAGGAGGACGUAAGAAACUCCAUUUUGAUCUGUACCCCGAGCGAUUGUUUUGCCCUGAGAUGCUGUUAAUCUGUAACUUUAGCCCCAGCCUUGAGCUCACAGAAACCUGUGUUGUAUGGAAUCAAGGUUUCAGGGAUCUAGGGCUGUGCAGGACGUGCCUUGUUAAGAAAAUGCUUACAGGCAGUACGCUUGGUAAAAGUUAUCGCCAUUCUCCAUUCUCGAUAAACCAGGGGCACAAUGCACUGCGGAAAGCCGCAGGGACCUCUGCCCAGGAAAGCCGGGUACCAUCCAAGGUUUCUCCCCACUGAGAUAUGGCCUUGUGGGAUGGGAAAGACCUGACCAUCCACCAGCCCGACACCCGUGAAGGAUCUGUGCUGAGUAGGAUUAGUAAAAGAGGAAGGCCUCUGUCUCCUGCCUUCCCCUGGGAACGGAAUGUCUCAGUAUAAAACUGAUCGUACAUUUGUUCAAUUCUGAGAUAGGAGAAAAACCACCCUGUGGUGGGAGGCGAGACAUGUUGGCCGCAAUGCUGCUGUUACUCUUUACUCCACUGAAAUGUUUGGGUGGAGAGAAGCAUAAAUCUGGCCUACGUGCACAUCUAGACAUAGUACCUUCCCUUGAACUUACUUGUGACACAGAUUCCUUUGCUCACAUGUUUUCUUGCUGACCUUCUCCCCACUGUCACCCUGUUCUCCUGCCACAUUCCUCUUGCUGAGAUAGUGAAAAUAGUAAUCAAUAAAUACUGAGGGAACUCAGAGACCGGUGCCAGUGCGGGUCCUCUGUAUGCUGAGCGCCAGUCCCCUGGGCCCACUUUUCUUUCUCU